rnacentral:rRNA from 1 species
CGACCGGCGCACGGGUGGGUAACACGUAUCCAACCUGCCGUCUACUCUUGGACAGCCUUCUGAAAGGAAAGAUUAAUACAAGAUGGCAUCAUGAGUCCGCAUGUUCACAUGAUUAAAGGUAUUCCGGUAGACGAUGGGGAUGCGUUCCAUUAGAUAGUAGGCGGGGUAACGGCCCACCUAGUCUUCGAUGGAUAGGGGUUCUGAGAGGAAGGUCCCCCACAUUGGAACUGAGACACGGCCAAACUCCUACGGGAGGCAGCAUG